GUAGAGAUAAGUUCAUUUAGUCCACAGUCAGAUUCGAUGUGGAGGUCUUCAUAGAGGAGAAGUCAGAAGUCAGUUGUGGACUAGAAACCAGGACAGGGCCCUGUUUCGAUGUAUUCACCUUCAUCAGCUUAUUUUUAAAGGGUUGUGUAAGUUUGAAGACUUUCAGAUAAAUAUAUCCUGUUAUUUUCUACGUUUCUCAGGGAUAACAACUACGUGUGGGUAGAUCAACGUGUAUCUUGAGCCUUUCUGUCAAAUAUCCUGGCAUUUGCACAUCAGCCUGCCCUGUAAAGUGAGAGAAAGGGCAAAAAUACCCUUUAUGGACAAAACACGGCAUAAUGGACCUGUAGGAAGUCUCCUUCUUCCUUCCUUCCUUCCUUCCUUCCUUCCUUCCUUUGAGGUUACUGCUGCUAUAAGCAAGUGGUAUUAGCCGCGGCCGAGCUGGCCCUAUUAGGAAACACUGAAAAGGUCAUCAUAAUUAAGCACGGAUUUUAUUUAUAAAGCACCAGCCAACUCCCAUCUCCCUUGGCCAAGUCACUGGAGGCUCAGUACAGGCAGUUUAAAGGGACGAUUAAAAGAAAGUCACGACAAUAUAGUUCACAGUCACCUUUCCUUAGCAUAUAUUCCAUGCUAUUAAUUAAUGGAUACUAUCAGGGGGGCUGUUAUCCCAUGGCUGUCACUUUCUGAUUGAUGUGGGCAAAGGGAGCCCAUGCGGAGAGGAGGAAGGCGAGAUCUUCUAGCAAAAUGGGACAUCUCCAUGGGCAACCUGGAGUUCAUUCAUCACAAAUGAACAGCAUCUUUAGUUAGGGCUGGAAAAGACUCUCUGCUUUAAACUCUGGACAGCUGCUGCCAAUCAGUGUAGAGGAUACUAAGUUAGAUGGACCAAUAGUCAGACUCCGUAUAAGGCUACUUCCUAUGAUCCCAGCUCAUUCUGUCCUUCAGAAUCUAGACUCACAUCUGCACUAUACACUUAAGCAAUAUUAUAUCACUUUAAACAGUCAUGUUUAAAAAAUACUGGGAGCUGGAGUUUAUUAAAGGUGCAGGGAGUUGACUCCUGUUCUUCUCACAAAGCUAUAAUUCCCAGAGUUCCCUGGGAAAGGGGGAUAAACCACUCUGACAACUGCAGCUCCCUGAGGGGAAUAAUUUUCAGCAUCCAUAACAAAUUACAGCUCCCAGAUUUCUUUGGGGGAAGCCAUGACUGCUUAAAGUGGAAUAGUAUUGCUUAAAAUGUGUAGUACAGAUGGGGACCUGGAAUGCAGUAAAGAGAAUCUAGAGUGCAGUAACUUCAACAUAAUCUUUUUUUUCUUUUUUUACUCCAUCAUUUUCAUCUGAGUCUAAGAAUGCAAGAACCAGUGCUUUUUUCCCUUAAAAAAAAUGUUUAGGAGUACUCUCAUUUUGACUCAAGAAAAUCACCGCGAAAGGAAAUGAAGCUGCCAUCAGAGGUGGUAACAACAAAACUGACCAAUCACUGUGCUAGAUUCGAACUCCUACUUCACACAUUAAACGCUCGCUUCCAUCUGAGACUCAGGAAACAUUGUGACAGGAAGUGAGGCUGCUACCGGGGGUAGCAACAGAACUGACGAUUCACUGUGCUAGAGAAGAAACUAAAAUUUUAGUUUCUUCUCCUGUUAGAUUAACAAAAUGUUUAGGGCUAUGCAUACCUCUGCAUCCCCUCCCCCCGCCCCCCAAAGGCACUGGCAAGAACAAUCCUGGUUCAGCCUCCCUGCUUCCCAUAGUGACCAACCCAUCUGUCUAUCCAGCAGACCCCUCAUUUUGCUUUCUCUCAGCCAGCUUCCCAUCCAGACAACAGCAUGUAUCACCAUCUCUUUGUCUCUCCACUAAGCUCCCAAGGGUAUGUUAAGCCCAUCGAUGGACGUAUUCAAGAGCACUCUUGAAAUUCAAAGCCAGUGUCCUCACUUUCUUUGCCUUGAAGAUGACAAAUAAGCAUUUCCUGGCUUGUUGUUGAAAUUAGCAUGAAAUAUCUCUUUGCUCCUCCCAGCGGGCGGCUAUAACACAUCCACUUCACACAGCCCGGCAAGAGUGGAAUCCCUGGUGCAGGUGUCAUGUUUAUGACACACUGCAUGGUCACCCCUAUAUGACAUUUGCACAUCACACAGUCUAGUUCCUUUCCUUCUGUUCCUCUCCCAAGUCUUUUAGAGACAGAAGCCAUGGAGUAGUGGAGGAGGAACAUUCACAACCAAUCCAAGGCACAGUUGCACACCCAACAUGAUUCUCCCCACUGGAUCUGUGCUCUGGCAGACACUGUGGUUGUGAAGACGACGGGACAAUGUCAGCUACAGGUUUGAGCAAGCGCUUGGGCUAGAAGCUCUCCAUGGACACCCUUCCCAGAGUGCCCCACCAUCUCCACUUCACCACUAUCGUCAGUUCCCCUAGAUCAGUGGUUCUCAAUCUGUGGGUCCCCAGAUGUUGUUGGACUACAACUCCCAUCAUCCCUGACCACUGUUCAUACUGGCUAGGAAUGAUGGGAGUUGUAGUCCAACAACAUCUGGGGACCCACAGGUUGAGAAUCACUGCGCCUAGAUCAAAACAGCAGCACCUGUCAGAGAGAGGGAGAGGGAAGACAAGGGUCACUAUGGCAUUUCUUCACAAGAAACCCACAGCCAAUGGCAACAGCUGGGGAGGCUAUGGUGGGAAGGUAAACGAUGUUACCGUGCGCUUUGGUUUCCAUCCCGAUGUUCCGUUGCGCCAGAAGCGGUUUAGUCCUGCUGGCCACAUGACCCGGAAACCUGCCUGUGGACAAACGCCGGAUCCCUCAGCCUGAAAGCGAGAUGAGCGCCUCAACCCCAUAGUCGCCUUUGACUGGACUUGGCCUUCCAGGGGUCCUUUACCUUACCUUUUUUUUAACCUUUAGAUGGAUGAACAGACAGACUCAUUCUAAAGCAGGGGUAGGCAACGUGGUGCUAUCCAGAUGUUGUGGACAUCUCCCGUCAUCC